rnacentral:rRNA from 1 species
CCUACGGGAGGCAGCAGUGAGGAAUAUUGGUCAAUGGACGAGAGUCUGAACCAGCCAAGUAGCGUGAAGGAUGACUGCCCUAUGGGUUGUAAACUUCUUUUAUAUGGGAAUAAAACGUUCCACGUGUGGGAUUUUGUAUGUACCAUAUGAAUAAGGAUCGGCUAACUCCGUGCCAGCAGCCGCGGUAAUACGGAGGAUCCGAGCGUUAUCCGGAUUUAUUGGGUUUAAAGGGAGCGUAGGUGGAUUGUUAAGUCAGUUGUGAAAGUUUGGGGCUCAACCGUAAAAUUGCAGUUGAAACUGGCAGUCUUGAGUACAGUAGAGGUGGGCGGAAUUCGUGGUGUAGCGGUGAAAUGCUUAGAUAUCACGAAGAACUCCGAUUGCGAAGGCAGUUCACUGGACUGCAACUGACACUGAGGCACGAAAGUGUGGGUAUCAAACAGGAUUAGAUACCCCUGUAGUC